GACGAACGCUGGCGGCGCGCCUAACACAUGCAAGUCGAACGAGAGAGAGGGAGCUUGCUUCCUUGAUCGAGUGGCGAACGGGUGAGUAACGCGUGAGGAACCUGCCUCAAAGAGGGGGACAACAGUUGGAAACGACUGCUAAUACCGCAUAAGCCCACGACCCGGCAUCGGGAAGAGGGAAAAGGAGCAAUCCGCUUUGAGAUGGCCUCGCGUCCGAUUAGCUAGUUGGUGAGGUAACGGCCCACCAAGGCAACGAUCGGUAGCCGGACUGAGAGGUUGAACGGCCACAUUGGGACUGAGACACGGCCCAGACUCCUACGGGAGGCAGCAGUGGGGAAUAUUGCACAAUGGGGGAAACCCUGAUGCAGCGACGCCGCGUGGAGGAAGAAGGUCUUCGGAUUGUAAACUCCUGUUGUUGAGGAAGAUAAUGACGGUACUCAACAAGGA
rnacentral:rRNA from 1 species